UUAAGUUCAGCGGGUAUCCCUACCUGAUCCGAGGUCAACCGGUAAAAAAAAUUGGUUCGACCAGCGCCGGCCGGGCCUCAUCGAGCGGAAAGAAUGUCCAUACGCUCGGGCACCGGUUCGGAUGCUGCCACUGCUUUUCGGGCCCGUCCACGGGGGGACGAGGCCCAACACACAAGCCGCGCUUGAAGGUUGCAAUGACG
rnacentral:misc_RNA from 1 species